UGGAGCUUAUUAGCUCUGCUGCUUCUGCGGAGCUACUCUUUGGAAAGAAGAAAACACCUUACAUUUUACAAGAGUUGCUGCAUAUCUAAUACAGGAUUUUGAUCUUCCCCUUAAAACUGGACCCAUCUGUGAACCACCCUGAAUGUUCUGUGGCACAAAGUCAGCAACAGAGCUUUUAUCUGAUAACAGUUGACAGAUAAUGUUUUGGAAUAAAACAAUAAACUUUGUUGGAAUUUGAGUACAUUUUAUUGAACUUACAGUGUGCCAUCUUGUUAGAAGCUGAAUGAGAUUCAACUGAAAAAAAAAUAAAAGAACAGAAAAAUGGCAUUUUCAAAGCUACAGCUGUUGACAGCCCCUGGGCUAAAGAUGGCUUAAAGCUGCAAGUGGACAAGGAGCUUGUGCCAGAGAGCGUUGGGGAAGAUAAGAAGCUCUAAUUGACUGAUGAAUUAAUGGCAAUUAAGAUUAAUGAACCUUUAUGGAAUAAGAGAGACUGGAGCACCUAGUCUGGGUCAAUAGAAUGUCUGUGGAUAAUUGCUUCUUUGCUAAUUGUAGCUGUAAUGUGUCUGGCCAUCAUAUGCAAAAAUCUUAUGUUCUAAUGGAUAGAGAUCUGCAUGAUGAGUUAAUUCCUCUUUGGUGGUAGUGUUAAUAAUUUAGCACCAUUACAGUUAAUAAUUUAUCAUUGUUUACUGCAAAGUGAUCAUAUGCAGGCACAUCUUGAUAUCAUAACUGGCAUUUCCCUGAAGAAUAUAGCAGGAUUCACUCUCAGGGCUGUACGAUUGUCAUGGUAUAUGGAAUGUAAAGAGCCAUGGCACUUGGCAGUAUGCUUCUAGAAGUGAUAGUACUGAUAACAGGAAGCAUUAACCCUAGUGUCUGUAGAUAGGGCUGUUUAAAGCUACUUAUUUGUCCAUUGGUGGACAAGGGAAAGGUGACCAAUGUCGUUUACCUGGACUUGAGCAAGGCCUUUGACAUGGUUCCCACCACAUCCUGAUCUCCAAAGUGAAGGGAUGUGGAUUUGAUGGGUGGACCCCUCGAUGGAUAGGAAACCAGUUGAAAGGCCGCAGACA